rnacentral:lncRNA from 1 species
AUAUCCAUUUAAGUGACUCACGAAGCGUUCCUGUCACAGCAACCUGACCGUAAGUCCUUUGGGCCAGGGCCUGUCUCGUAGGUAUGCACGCACACAGGACUUACUGAGGACAUCUGCCAGGAUGAGCUGUCCAUGGCGAGGAGCAGGCAGCCUCUCCAUCGAGUGCUACGUGGAAUUUGCUGGCCCUCAGCCAGGGGAACUUCCUUCUUCAGACACUCUCUUGGAGAGUAGGUUAUUAAAGCCAUAAACCCAAGGCCAUAAAGAACUUUCCUGAGUCUCCAUAAAUCUGCAGGUCAGCUGAGGCCUGUCAGCUUUGAGAAGAGGCCUGUGCUCCGGAAACCAUGCAGCAAGGACUGAGGGCAGCCCCUCCCCAGAGCCUGGUCACGGUCUCGCAUCAGGCUCGUCAGUCCCGGCCCACAGCAUGGAACUGGCCAAUUGGACACCACAGCCUUGGUGGCUUCCGCCUUCAGCACAGGAAGCUCCUUUGUUUCACUCUCUGGACCUGAACUUCUACCACCCAGAAGUCAUUUUUUCUUGCAGAUUUCAUCUUCAACCUCAGUGUAAGAAUAAGAAAACUGGCAGUUUCCUCCGAACAAGAUUGAGAAGCGCCCUGAGGGUCCUGAGUCCCCAGAUGAUUGAUGACCCGGGUGCCCUGGCCUCCGCGCCUCGCCUCCUAUGACUCCAGGGAUCGGAACAGCUCCGGGCCUUCUCAUGUGUGAGAUCGUCAGAGCUGGCUGCAGAGGCGCUGGCGGGGGAGCAAACUGCAGAAGUAGGCCGGAAGCUCUUGGAUACAGCGCAUCCCAGAAAGAAGGCCACGGAGGAGUCGGCAUCACCUACAGGACCUAGCCAAGAAUAUGUGUUGAAUGUUAUUGUUGUGAACUUCGUACAUCGAAAGAUCUACUAGGCAUCCAUUGUGAAGCAGAAAGGCUGCACCUUCUACAGAGACUAAGCUUUUCACUGCACCAAGAUGCUACACAUUAACGGUGAAUAUGAUGUGAAUCGGCCCUCCAGAUGGCUGCCUGGCUGUACCGAAGUGUCCUUAAGAAGCAGUCAAGGAAAGAAUCAGAGGCGUAGCUCCAUGCCAGGACCACACCAGCAAGGCAACUGGGGAAAGUGCAUUCCCAGGCCCGCUACAGAUGUCUUGCAUUUCCUGUGCUCCUCACAUCUUCUGUGCUGCCUCCUCGGAGGUCAUCAGAGCGGAAAGGGGUCUGUAGAGGAGGGCCAUGCUCGGUUGCCAUCAGCCCUCCCUGGGGCCCCCGGGGAGAUCCUGCAGAAGGGGAGCCACCAGGAGGACCAGGCCUGAUCUACUGCUGGCCAGGCCUGGUGCUCGCUGCCCCUGGGUCCUCCAUGUGUACUUUGCACUCACAAGGUCACGGGUGGAGCCUUCCCCAGAGGUGACCCGUAAUCCACAUGCCUUAGGCCUAAAGCAAGGGGAACCUUGUGUGUGCGUUUUCUCGCAUCUCAGGGUGGAGGAAGAGCCCACUGAAAGGUGUCUUCUAAGAUAAAGCUGCCUUUUACCCCUCUGUGGUAAAAAAAAGACCUAGAAAGAGGCCAUUAUUUUAACCAGACCCAGAAACUUUUCCAGCUCAAUUUACUUCUAGGUGCAGAAAAACUAAGAAAGUUCAGUUAAGAAAUGCAAAUUAGUUCUGGUUACCUAUGGAUGCUUAGCCAAUCAUUACAAAACCUAACAUCGUGAUGUUUCAACACCUGCUUUGCUGUAACUCAUAAUCUCUGAAAAUUAGGGAUUUAGGAGAGGGGCUGGACAGUUCCACUGAGGAGUCUCCUGUUCAGGUGCAGAAUGGAGCUGGAAAAGCAAGGACUGACGCGGGGCGGGGCGGUAUUUCUCUCUGAAUCUCUGUACUUCUCUGCUUAUAGCUCUGGGGCCUUUCAGGGUGGGUUCAGAGAGUUAGAGCAGGAAGGAUGCAAGUUGGAGCCUAGCCUAGGCGAAUUAGUAACUUAGUGAAAGAUUGGAUCAGGAUGGAAAGGAGAGAGAGAAAGAGAGAGACGGGGGAGAGAGCUGGGAAUGUACCUCACUGUGAUGACUCUGGGCUCAAUUCUCAGUAUCACCAAAAAAAAAGAAAAGCACAACAGUGUCCUCUCCUGCUGGGCUGAUGUGGACCUCCUCAGAGCAAGGCUGCCACCAGAAAAAAUCAAACAAUAACUAAAAGCUUCAAGAGUGAGUAUUCUUGUAAGUCCAAAUGUUGUGCAGUUUUUAAUAUACUUGAAUGUAAAGAUUCAAUAAAUGCUUAGAGCGUAAAGAUAAUUUUUCAAGACUUAGAUUGACUGGUUU